CCUACGGGUGGCUGCAGUGGGGAAUAUUGGACAAUGGGGGGAACCCUGAUCCAGCCAUGCCGCGUGUGUGAAGAAGGCCCUCGGGUUGUAAAGCACUUUCAGUGAGGAAGAACGCCUGGUGGUUAAUACCCAUCAGGAAAGACAUCACUCACAGAAGAAGCACCGGCUAACUCCGUGCCAGCAGCCGCGGUAAUACGGAGGGUGCGAGCGUUAAUCGGAAUUACUGGGCGUAAAGCGCGCGUAGGUGGCUUGAUAAGCCGGUUGUGAAAGCCCCGGGCUCAACCUGGGAACGGCAUCCGGAACUGUCAAGCUAGAGUGCAGGAGGGGAAGGUAGAAUUCCCGGUGUAGCGGUGAAAUGCGUAGAGAUCGGGAGGAAUACCAGUGGCGAAGGCGGCCUUCUGGACUGACACUGACACUGAGGUGCGAAAGCGUGGGUAGCAAACAGGAUUAGAUACCCUUGUAGUC
rnacentral:rRNA from 1 species